rnacentral:rRNA from 1 species
GAUGAACGCUGGCGGCGUGCCUAACACAUGCAAGUCGAGCGAUUCUCUUCGGAGAAGAGCGGCGGACGGGUGAGUAACGCGUGGGUAACCUGCCCUGUACACACGGAUAACAUACCGAAAGGUAUGCUAAUACGAGAUAAUAUGCUUUUGUCGCAUGGUAGAAGUAUCAAAGCUUUUGCGGUACAGGAUGGACCCGCGUCUGAUUAGCUAGUUGGUAAGGUAACGGCUUACCAAGGCGACGAUCAGUAGCCGACCUGAGAGGGUGAUCGGCCACAUUGGAACUGAGACACGGUCCAAACUCCUACGGGAGGCAGUAGUGGGGAAUAUUGCACAAUGGGCGAAAGCCUGAUGCAGCAACGCCGCGUGAGCGAUGAAGGCCUUCGGGUCGUAAAGCUCUGUCCUCAAGGAAGAUAAUGACGGUACUUGAGGAGGAAGCCCCGGCUAACUACGUGCCAGCCGCCGCCGUAA